rnacentral:rRNA from 1 species
GAUGAACGCUGGCGGCGUGCCUAAUACAUGCAAGUCGAGCGAACGGACGAGAAGCUUGCUUCUCUGAUGUUAGCGGCGGACGGGUGAGUAACACGUGGAUAACCUACCUAUAAGACUGGGAUAACUUCGGGAAACCGGAGCUAAUACCGGAUGAUAUUUUGAACCGCAUGGUUCAAAAGUGAAAGACGGUCUUGCUGUCACUUAUAGAUGGAUCCGCGCUGCAUUAGCUAGUUGGUAAGGUAACGGCUUACCAAGGCAACGAUGCAUAGCCGACCUGAGAGGGGACAGGGCCAACCGGAAACGGAACACGGUUCCAGACCCCAGGGGGGGCAAACGGUGGGGAAUUUUCCGAAAGGGGCAAAAGCCUAAGGGAGAAACCCCGGGGGGGAGAGGAGGGUUUUGGGAUGGAAAAACUUUUUUAUUGGGGAAAAAAAUAUGUGAAAAAAACGGUGCCCUUUUGGGCGGAACCAAAAAAAAAACCCCGGGCUAACUAGG